AGAGUUUGAUCAUGGCUCAGGAUGAACGCUGGCGGUAUGCCUAACACAUGCAAGUCGUACGAGAGUUUUUAACUCUAGUGGCGGACGGGUGAGUAACACGUGAGAAUUUACCUUUAGGAGGGGGAUAACAAUUGGAAACGAAUGCUAAUACCCCAUAUGCUUUUGAGUGAAAUGGAUUUUAUCCGCCUAAAGAAAAGCUCGCGGCUGAUUAGCUUGUUGGUAAGGUAAGAGCUUACCAAGGCGACGAUCAGUAUCUGGUUUGAGAGGACGAUCAGACACACUGGAACUGAGACACGGUCCAGACUCCUACGGGAGGCAGCAGUGGGGAAUUUUCCGCAAUGGGCGAAAGCCUGACGGAGCAAUACCGCGUGAGGGAAGAAUGCCUAUGGGUUGUAAACCUCUUUUUUCAGGGAGGAAUAAAAUGACGUGUACCUGAAGAAUAAGCAUCGGCUAACUCCGUGCCAGCAGCCGCGGUAAGACGGAGGAUGCAAGUGUUAUCCGGAAUCACUGGGCGUAAAGCGUCUGUAGGUGGUUUAAUAAGUCAACUGUUAAAUCUUGAGGCUCAACUUCAAAAUCGCAGUCGAAACUAUUAGACUAGAGUAUAGUAGAGGUAAAGGGAAUUUCCAGUGGAGCGGUGAAAUGCGUAGAUAUUGGAAAGAACACCGAUGGCGAAAGCACUUUACUGGGCUAUUACUAACACUCAGAGACGAAAGCUAGGGUAGCAAAUGGGAUUAGAUACCCCAGUAGUCCUAGCCGUAAACUAUGGAUACUAGAUGUUGAACAGAUCGACCUGUGCAGUAUCAAAGCUAACGCGUUAAGUAUCCCGCCUGGGAAGUAUGCACGCAAGUGUGAAACUCAAAGGAAUUGACGGGGGCCCGCACAAGCGGUGGAGCAUGUGGUUUAAUUCGAUGCAACGCGAAGAACCUUACCAGGGUUUGACAUGAUACGAAUUUCUUUGAAAGAAGAAAGUGCCGUUUGGAGCGUAUACACAGGUGGGUGCAUGGGCUGUCGUCAACUCCUGGCCUGAGAAGGUUGGGGUUAAAUCCCCCCAACGAAGGCAACCCCUUGGUUUUAAUUUGCCUUUUUUUGGAAACCUAAAAAAAAUGCUGGGUUAUAAACCGAGGAGAG
rnacentral:rRNA from 1 species